ncrna:unclassified sequences IS605-orfB-II RNA
CAUGAUUAGAUUAGUCUAUCUAGGAUUGUUUAGAGGGUAGUCGCAGUCGCCCCAACUCUGACUUGCUAAGCAAUUUUUUUGUUUUGUAAGUAGGAUGAGAAAACAACAAACAUUUUGUUGGAAACUUUAAUUUUUUAAUAAAUUAGAGAACUGU